rnacentral:tRNA from 1 species
GGAUAUGUAGCUCACUGGCAGAGUGUUUACCUAGCAUGCACAAGGCCCUGGGUUCAAUCCCCAACAUCACCA